ACGCACCCCUCCUCCGCUCCACUCCGUCGCCGUCGCCCUCCUACGAUCCAUAGCCGUCGACUCCUCCUCCAAUGAUGACGAGUCGGCGCCGCAAACCAAACCCGCCGCCUCCGAGCCGUCGCCCUCGCCUCCUACGAGCCACCACGGCCGUCUGCUCCUCCGAGACGGCGCUGCAAAGCAAACCCUCGAUAUCGCGGUCGCCCUCGCCCUCGCUUCCCGCGAGCUGUUGCCGUCCCAGGUUCCUUUCCUGUCCUUGGCCGGCGAUCUGCGGGAAGCCACUGCACGCGUGAAGGAGACAUCGCACGAUCCCCCGCUACCCAUGUUCUGCCGGCCUGCACCGCCCCCCGCCCCCAUCCUUCUCCCCCCGCAUUCUCCUCCACUCACGCGGAUCGACGGCCAGCACGUGGAACCGCCGACCUCCACUCGCGCGGAUCCACGGGCCUCCGCACCGCCGCUCGCCGAGAUUGACCGGCCGCCGCUGAUCUCCACGCUCUCUCCGCCCCCGCUCCCUCCCCUGCAUCCAGCCGUCCCCACCUUGCGGAGCCUCGGCUGGCCGACGAUGCUGCCACGAUCACCCCUCCCGAACGUGCCGGCCACAUCCCCGCCGUGCGCGGAUAGGGAGCAUGUCGCUCAACCACCUGCAGCCGCCGGUAAAGAUUCAAUUAUUUUCUGCAUAUUGCAGCGGCUGGUAAGUGGUAAAGUUUGAUAUAUUUUCUGCAUAUCGAAAUCUUUCACCUGAGAUUGCGAUGGAUGCUUGAGUUCGUGGUGUGAGUUGCCUUUUGUUUCUUCCCUCAUCAAUGCGAACCCUCUCUCAUCUUGCAAUAGGAUUAUCUUCUGACCAAAGAAUCAGAAUACAGAGAUCGGUAAUGUUAGUGACCUGCUUCGACUCUGAAAUCCUAAUUCAAUUAUUCCAGCAUUGCAGUCGCUAUGAAUCUUGAAGAGUAAAAACGAAAGAAACAUCUUGCUAAUAAUUGGAGAUCAAGAAGCUUGCAAAUGAAUUUUAUAUUGAACUAAGAGUAUAAGCAAUAAUGGAUAAUUUAUACAGUUGAUUUUUGUGCGUCGGCAUCUGGAAUAGACGCACUUGAUGUAAAAAAGGUCUCAAAGGUGUUGAUCUCUGAAGUGUGGAAACUGUAGCUUACUCUGGGAAGUCGAAAAGAUAAUAUAGAAAGGAAAGUAAUUAAUUUUCGACCACUGGUUAGCAUAUUGUUGCAUUUUAGUGUUUGUCAACUAUAAAUAUUUACAUAUUUUUUGCGCCAUUAGAGAUAAAAGAUCAGUUGAGAAAAUAAACAUGGCCGCGGGCUCCCGAGCCACCAGAACCCUGGCUCAUGAAUUUCCACUUAGGUUAUUCUUGGCUAUUUUAUUUUCUGAAACAAAACAACACCCUUUCAAUGAUUAGCCAAUCAUCGUUGCACUCUGAAGUAAGUGCACAACUGCACACUGAAGCUGCCAUUACAUAAUGGCAUAAUGAUUGAGUUUCUCUCUAGCUUCCCCUGGUUCUUUCAUUGUAUUAAGUAAGUAAACACUGAAGUUCGGAUGAUGUCUCCUAUGUAUUAAGUAAGUGAGAUUGCUUUUUCACCUUUUGCUCCUCUUUGUCUUUUUAGUAUGGCUAUAUAUUCUUCUUUUAUAGUAGGUCAGGUUCACAACAAUCCGUGCAUUGUUCAAGAUUAUUUUUUAUUGGGGUAUGCUGCAUUAUCUCAAAUGGCUCUCUGAAUCAAUAUUUAGUUUUCCAGAAGUUGUGACAAUGAAGAGGGUCUCACUGAAUAUCUCCAAUGGCUCUCUGAUUUUUCAUUUUCUGCAUUUGUAGACUUAUGCUCUUUGUUAAACAUGAUUAGUGGAGCUCGUAAUAUUGAAAUUACAGUAUUAGUCUCCAAAUAAGCUUGGCCAAGGCUGCGGGAUCCUGCACCCUGGAAAGCUGAAUUAUGUUCGCUUCAGGAAUAUUGUAAUCAUAGCUCCAGCACAGCCAAGCAUAAACUUUGCCACUGAUCCGAAGAGGUAGCCCACUUUAAUUCAUGAAAAGGAAGUAACUCCUUCUGUUACAAUUUCAAUCUGUUUAUAAUUUGUAGUUCAAAAAAUAAGGAUAUUUGAGUAUGAUGGUUGAUGUAAAGCUAUGGCUAUCUUUUUCUUGAGAAAAGCUUAAUAUGCUCCGGGUGUCUGGGUUUGAAGUUGCAUUUGUAUUCAGAAUUGCUGAUGAAGAAUGAGCACUGACAUAUCUUUGCAAUGGUUUCAGAAGUAUCUUUGCUGAUGAGAUGAUUGGGGGAUUUUGAUUCUUCUUUUUUCUCUCUUUUUGAUUGUAUGUUUUCUGGAUGAGAAGAUAUUGAGUGUUGUCGUUUCUCUAGGGAUGGCAUGGAUGAUAGCAACAGGUGCCUUUUACCUGGAGUUGCUGUUUGCUCUCCUGGAGUGGCGUACAACCAUUCCUGCUUUCAUCACUAAAGUAGUUUCUGAAGUUGUUAUGAUCGCCUUGGUCUUGUAUAUGGUUAAUUGUGAUCUAACGAGACUAAUAUUUUUUAUAAUCACAGUGAAGAAAUACCCGUCACUUUGAGCUAUAUAAUUUGGAAUUCCUUUGGGGCUUUGUAAAACUAACAAACAGGUUGUGCUCCAGAUCUCCAGUCUUUGAUCUAAUUUUUACCUGUUACCUUCCUAAAUCAGUCCUUUUAUUUACAAUCUCAAUCUUUCCUAUACAGUUGCAUUCUCUUCAUUCUUCUAUCUUCUUUCCUCUGAGUUAAUAGUUGCUGCUAUUGUUUUACAACACUCUACUUUCUAUAGAUGGCACUAAUUCUAUAAACUUCAUAGAAGGGCAUCUCAACAUAUGGCAUCAUGUUUUCUAUUGAAAAUCUGAUAUAGGGAAAAAAUGAUUGGCCAUAUAUGGUUACCAAAGGGCAGGAAUAGCUUAGCUCAGAUGCUCUGCACUGCAAUCAAUUCUCAAAGGUGCUGGUGGCGCACACAUUGUCGAAAAGUUUCUGCAGCUAUCAGUUUUUCCCAAAGAAGGGAUAUUAUAGAAUUGCAAAAUUGUAACCCUCCUCUUUGUACACCGAACUGAAGGUGAAGGUGAGAGCCCAAUGCUCAAGCCCACCCUUCCCUGCCUCCAGCUUCACUGCUCUUGGUGCAGGAAACAAUGUCAUGUUGAAUAUAGUAAGUCAGGACAUGAACCUGGAAGGUGAAAAGGUA